rnacentral:tRNA from 3 species
GCGGGAAUAGCUCAAUGGUAGAGCGCAACCUUGCCAAGGUUGAUGUUGCGGGUUCAAAUCCCGUUUCCCGCUCCA